UCUGUCGCCCCUCUCUCUGCUCUCCCUCCACACCUCCACCUCGCCCUCUCUCUUCUCUCCCUCUCCUUUCCGCGAGGCCUGCCGCUAUCCCUCACCCCCUCACCAGUCCAGCACCGUCCCACCGAAAUCCCAAUCUCUCCUUCCUCCUCUGCAGUCCAUCCUGAGCUCUCCCUCUCCUAUCUUCUCCCUCCUCACUCUCUUCCGUGCCGAGCAGGAGGGAGAGGGCGCCGCCUCCGGUCCCGCCUGCCGUCGCGCAGGAGGGGCAGGCGCAGCCUCCGGUGCCGGCCGCCACCGCCGCGCAGGACGGGAGGCCGACCCAGUCAUCUCUGCCAGGUCCGGCCGACCCCCGGCCAGCUCGUCGCCGGAUCCAGUGACAGAGACUCCGCCGAUAUGUGUCUCUCUCUCCUCUCUUUCUCUCUCUCUCUCUCACCCUCUCUCUCUCUCUCGCCGUCUCUCACAGUUUGUUGAUGGAAGAUCCGGCGUCCCCGACCUCGGCCGCCGACGUGGAGAGCCGAAACCGCGUUGUGGAGCAGUUGUAGGCUUGUAGCUCUGUUUUCUUUUCAUUUUCUCUCUUCUGAUUUUGUAAUUUGUUUCAUCGAUGACCUAAUUUGUGAUUUUUUUCAUCGACGACCUAAUUUGUGAUUUGUUUCGUCGACGACCAAAUUUGUGCCAAAAUUUGCCUGCCUUUUUUUUAAAUCACGAGAAUGAUAUCAAUGGCGGGUCCUAGGUGUGACCGCCAGUGAUGCGUACGGCCCGCCACUGAUGGUCUGCUCACCGUUGGCAUCCAGUCGCUGAUAGCAUUUUAAGCCCUUUACGAUGUCAUGUUUCGUAGUAGCGUUAGUCUGACAAGCUGAGCACGAAACGAGUAGAGCUGCUUGCCGAGUAUCGAGUAAAGUCCCAACGCCACAUAGUGGGGGGCGCGCAUGCACAGGGGAGCACCGGAGAGCGAGCAAGAGUCGGCACUUCGUUGCAUGAAAUGGAGAUUUCUCACCAGCUUAAUUAUUUCCGAACUAGUAAAAGCAUCUCUGCCAAAUUCCGCAUAUGGUCGAUCCGAACUGAGUUUACGGAUUUGAGCCAAAAAAAACGGCCCCAACAGAUUCCUCGAAAAAACGCGUUUAGGUUUACACGAAAAACUCACGAACGGUCGCAUAUAUGCCUACACACGGUUCCAGUUCGGUGUCCUCACCCCACUUUCCGCCGCCCACAUCUGCCGCCAAAUCCCUACCCCGCCGCCCAAAUCCUCCACCCAUUUUCCAUCUUCCCCAGCUCCGGCCACCCAAAAUUCUCCCCUUCCGUCCCAAUGGUUCACAGCGACCGCUCGGCGGGGCCGGCCGCUCGUCGUACCGCUUCCCCACGCGGGCAGGGAAACCCAGCGGCGGCCACGGCGGAGGGGCCGACGACGAGGCGGCGUGGCUGCGGCACUCCCUCACGGCUCGGAGCUCGCAAGUGGGCGUCUACCGUGACCUCAGAACGCGAGGUCGCCAAGUUCGUCUUGGUGGAGUUGGCUGCGUUGGCGGCGGGGAGCUCGAGCGGUGCACGCGCCAUGAGCACUCCGCGGCAAGAGGUCAAUUGAACUGUUCGGAUCAACCACACGGAGAAUCUGCUAGAUAUGCUCAAUUUCUUCGCAUCUUCUGAACUGCAUUUUCGGAUUCAGCUCAAUUGAACAGUUCCGAUCAACCACACGGAGGAUCUGCUAGAAAUGCUCAAUUUCUUCGCAUUGUGCGCCCAACGAAAACAGAGAGUGCCGUGGGUGACUGUUUAUGGAGCUGCGCGUCACAGAAAGCUGCCGCCCUUUGCCGGUCCCAACACUUGAGACGCAGAUUAAUUUGCACACAGUAAUGGAGGGGAUCUUCGGUUCGGCGACACCACCCUCCUCAUCGAGUGGUAGAAACCGUGCAUUUUGAGCUUAAGUUAGGCUGGACGUUUCCAUGACCGCCGCCAAGAUCCAGAUCUCUGUACGCCACGGACGCAACUGCAAAUCCGACGUCCGUCUCUUCCAUGAUGCUCUAGUUAUAGGUAUUGAUCGAUCAAGCUUGUUUUUUUUUUUGGAGAAUGAUCGAUCGAGCUCGUA